UCUAGCAAAUUUUAUCUGGAUCUACAUUAAAGUCCCAUAAGAACAACAGCAUGGGGUGAAAUAUGUUGACAAAGGAUUAUGGUAAAAGUUUGUUCUCAAAAUUGGAUAAUCUAAGCAUCAUUUAAAAUUUUAUAAUCAGUGUAAAAUAGAUGUGAACAAGAUCUUUGACACAGGGUUUAUGUUUGUAGAUGAAGAAAGGUAAUUACUAAAUGAUAAUAAAAGCUGUAAUAUUUCAUUUAACUGAAAUCAAGUAAUUGUGCAGUAAUGAGUUCAGAAAUGCUUUAUUAUAUGUCAAGGAUGAAUAGAAUAUGUUAUGAGUACAAAUGAAUUGAAAACCAAAUGCUGCAGAGAGGAUGUCUUCUACUUUGGUUUCCAUGUAAACUUUCCACUGACAUUAGAUGAGGGUCAGUGUAAAUUGAAGGAAAUUUGAAGUCCUAAACUUCUGUCCCCAUUGAGUGAGGAUUAAUAAUCAUGGAACCUAUUUUCCCCUACCAUGUGGUUUUGAUCUUCCUGAUCUAGCCGCUGCUAGACAGCAGUGGAGUAGUUUCAGUCUAGAUUCCAGUGAACAACCAUCUUAGAGCUUGUCACUAUGAUGGGGUCAGCAACUGAGCUAACCUAGAAAGGAGCUUGAAGCCAUACAGGCAAAGAUCUUACUGAUCAUAAGAAAAUGACAACUUGACCUGAAGUUGUCCUUUUAGAACAAGACUGAUGUGCAAAGACUGUGUAACAGAAAUUUGCAGACUAUCUGGAGUGAGGAGCUGUCAUCUUCAGGGCUACUAGAAGGGAAUUUGCAAGAGUGGUGCACUCAUGUAACAAGUGAGAAAAAAAAAUGCAGUCAUGCAAAGGGAAAAAAAAAAAAGGAAAAGGAAGAAAGAAGAAAAAAAAUACAAGGAAGGGUGGAAGGAAAACUAAAACGUAAAUGCUAUUUUUUUGUCCACUAUAAUGUUAAGCUUUGAAUCACUCCAAUUGUAUACCUCAAAACUCAACUCCAAACUUUGGAAGCUUUGAGUUUUACCAAUAAAUACAAUAAGCCAUGACACAUUGGUUUCAUAAUAAAAGUAUGCUGACUUCCAAUGCAUCAAAUAAACCAACACCGAACAAUAAAUUUGCAUUUAACUAAACACUGAAGGCUGAAUUUUCAAACACUCUGAUUUCCAACCACCACCGUCAGCUGAACUUUUCAGUAUCCUUCCUUGUUCAGACUCCAGGCAUUGCUUGAUGCUAAAGUCAGCCAGUUCAGCUCACUGAUCUAAAAUUACCUGUGGAGGUGUGUUGUUUUCUAACAGGUCAGCAAUGUGAACCAACUCACCCUAUACCUGUGUGAGCACUGAGGGCAGGAAUAAGCAGCUGCAAGAUGACAAGAGACUGUAAGAGAGUGGCAGAACCAGCCUUUGUAUUGCCAUCCUGCUUCAACACUGAACUGGGCAGAAAGGGAACUGUCCUAAGCACCAACCUGAUUCUGCCAACCUGAUAUGCCACAGGGACCUCAACAGGAAAUUAACUGUUGAUCUCAAAAUCCUGGAUAUCUGUCAAAUAAAUCACUCUCAUGCUCAUGUACGUGAGACUGAAUAUACAGCAUGAUCUAUAGUUUUGAGUCCUACCAUCAAAACCUAAAGUUUCUGCCAGUUCAGUUAAAUUGGCUCCUGAGGUGGUGCAAGUCCUGUAUGGUUGAUGCAGGACCCACUUGGCCAUUGCUCCACAAAAUUUCCAACAACUCUCCAUCAAGAUGUCAAUGUCCCUAACUCUGUUACUGCAACUGCAUUGGUCCAUCUUCAUCUCUGGGACUUGCAGCCUGUCCUCCAAGGUUUGCACUAAAAAUUGACUUUCUUACCUUAUAUAUACAAUACCUCUGAGCUAAACUGGUAAGUAGGGGGGCAGGAGAGGAGGGAAGGAGAAAUUCAUGGUUUCCUGCUUUAGCCUGGUCUCAGAGGAAGUCAUUGUUUCCUGCAGCUUGGGUAGGGGAACAGUACAAAGCAGCUGCGUAACUGCUUCAAGACAAGAGAUCUGUUUAGAUAAGCCAAAAGCUGGGUAUGACUGAGCAAAGAGCAGUAUUGAACAUGGCUGUAAAGAACACUACCAGUCCUACCACCGCAUCAGAAGCUGCCAGAUCUGCCAUGUAGCUGUAUUUAUGUGUCUGCUCUCAUGCCACAUAAUCCCAUCACCACCUCGCAAGAACAUGAUGUAUCCACAAUCAAGCCCUGUGUUUGUGGAGUCUCCUCUUCUCAUCUAAUGACAAGGACGUUGCAGAAGGGAACAGAGGGGGUCUAGACCUCUCUGAUAAGAGGUGACUGUUUGUGACCUAGGACUUCAGGAAGGUAUUUCGGCUAACGAGGAGAAAAUUCAACUUUCGACUAUUCCCGAGCUCUCCGUUCCACAAAAUGUCCCCGCAGCUCCAAACCAGAAGUCGGUGAAUUCGACACCCGGAGAUGUUUUACACCAGAAAAGUUCGCCGAGACCCAUCCGAGCGGAGCAUUUCCACUGAUAACGGAGGAGCGGGUGGCUGUUAAUGGAAGAAAUACCGAAGUAGCCUCCGAAAUGCUCGUGCGGGCAGGGAGCCCUCCCAUCUCGCCUUGCCAUGGGCGCUUUGUUUUAGGCCUCACGCACACGGGGAGAGAGCUCGGGGGCAGCUCGGCAGCCCUCCCCCCCCAAAAAAAAAAAUAAAAAACAAAAAUGUGGAA